rnacentral:misc_RNA from 1 species
UGGCUCUGGCAUCGAUGAAGAACGCAGCGAAAUGCGAUAAGUAGUGUGAAUUGCAGAAUUCAGUGAAUCAUCGAAUCUUUGAACGCACAUUGCGCCCCUUGGUAUUCCAUGGGGCAUGCCUGUUCGAGCGUCAUUUACACCCUCAAGCUCUGCUUGGUGUUGGGCGUCUGUCCCGCCUCUGCGCGUGGACUCGCCCCAAAUACAUUGGCAGCGGUCUUUGCCUCCUCUCGCGCAGCACAUUGCGCUUCUUGAGGUGUUGCGGCCCGCAUCCACAAAGCACAUUUUCGUCUUUGACCUCGGAUCAGGUAGGGAUACCCGCUGA